rnacentral:misc_RNA from 1 species
UGACAAUUGGUGGCCCAUACGG